rnacentral:rRNA from 1 species
GCUUACGGCCAUACCACCCUGAGAACGCCCGAUCUCGUCUGAUCUCGGAAGCUAAGCAGGGUCGGGCCUGGUUAGUACUUGGAUGGGAGACCGCCUGGAAAUACCAGGUGCUGUAAGCU